UACGUAGGGGGCAAGCGUUGUCCGGAUUUAUUGGGCGUAAAGAGCGUGUAGGCGGCCAGGUAGGUCUGCUGUGAAAACUCGAGGCUUAACCUCGAAACUGCAUUCGAUACUGCGGUGCUUGAGGACUGGAGAGGAGACUGGAAUUCAUGGUGUAGCAGUGAAAUGCGUAGAGAUCAUGAGGAAGACCAGUGGCGAAGGCGGGUCUCUGGGCAGUAACUGACGCUGAGAAGCGAAAGCGUGGGGAGCGAACAGG
rnacentral:rRNA from 1 species